rnacentral:rRNA from 1 species
AGUGGGGAAUAUUGCACAAUGGAGGAAACUCUGAUGCAGCCAUGCCGCGUGUGUGAAGAAGGCUUUCGGGUUGUAAAGCACUUUCAGCGAGGAGGAAAGGGUGCAGGUUAAUACCCUGUAUCUGUGACGUUACUCGCAGAAGAAGCACCGGCUAACUCCGUGCCAGCAGCCGCGGUAAUACGGAGGGUGCGAGCGUUAAUCGGAAUUACUGGGCGUAAAGCGCGCGUAGGCGGUUAAUUAAGUCAGAUGUGAAAGCCCAGGGCUCAACCUUGGAACUGCAUUUGAAACUGGUUAACUAGAGUUUUGUAGAGGGUGGUAGAAUUUCAGGUGUAGCGGUGAAAUGCGUAGAGAUCUGAAGGAAUACCAGUGGCGAAGGCGGCCACCUGGACAAAGACUGACGCUGAGGCGCGAAGGCGUGGGGAGCAAACGGGAUUAGAUACCCCGGUAGUCCACGCAGUAAACGAUGUCUAUUAGCCGUUGGGGUCCUUGUGACCUUUGUGGCGCAGUUAACGCGAUAAGUCGACCGCCUGGAGAGUACGGCCGCAAGNUUA